GAGGAGCAGGGGCACAGAGCAAUCCUGUGGCCGGAGAGGGCCCCGGCUGUGCUGAGCGUCGCCGUUCUCAGGCUCUCGAUGAGCGGAGGCGGUGGCACAGGUGGCAUUUGGCUGCAGUGAGGUGACAGAAAGCGCAGACAGACAACAAUAUGCACAAGUAGUGAUAUUGCAGGAAUGUUUUGUUGCCUCCAGAACACUUCUGCACUUGCAUACUGAUGUAUGAGAGCUCUGCUGUGGCAGAACAGUGCAUGGAGGCCCAGAGAGGACACACAUAGGCCACGCUCCUUGAUACAGUUCCCACCACCUCUGCACAACGUGGUUAUUGCAGUUCCUGACCAUCUGAAAGCCAUGAUUCUGAGCCUGUGCAGCUCCCUUGCUCCUUUCAGUGGAGCUCUGAGGCUGCUGGAGCUUUCCAAGCCUGGCUCAGGCUAGCAGCUGUGUCAGGAUGUGGAGUUCAGUAGUUCAGUCUUCCACGUUC
rnacentral:lncRNA from 12 species